rnacentral:rRNA from 1 species
AUUGAACGCUGGCGGCAUGCCUUACACAUGCAAGUCGAACGGUAACAGGUCUUCGGAUGCUGACGAGUGGCGAACGGGUGAGUAAUACAUCGGAACGUGCCCGAGAGUGGGGGAUAACGAAGCGAAAGCUUUGCUAAUACCGCAUACGAUCUCAGGAUGAAAGCAGGGGACCGCAAGGCCUUGCGCUCACGGAGCGGCCGAUGGCAGAUUAGGUAGUUGGUGGGAUAAAAGCUUACCAAGCCGACGAUCUGUAGCUGGUAUGAGAGGACGACCAGCCACACUGGGACUGAGACACGGCCCAGACUCCUACGGGAGGCAGCAGUGGGGAAUUUUGGACAAUGGGCGCAAGCCUGAUCCAGCCAUGCCGCGUGCAGGAUGAAGGCCUUCGGGUUGUAAACUGCUUUUGUACGGAACGAAAAGACUCUGGUUAAUACCUGGGGUCCAUGACGGUACCGUAAGAAUAAGCACCGGCUAACUACGUGCCAGCAGCCGCCGUAAUAC